AAAAAUUACAAAAACAUGGGGUGUGCAAGUGCAAUAUCCUAUCUUAUCACAGGCUGUCUUGUCUGCUGCUUACUGCAGCAGUAGCUUGAAAAAAUGUCUACAAUAAAGUCUGAGAAUUGGUCAAUAGCAGUAUAUUAUGAAUAACAAAUUAGAUGUAGUAAAGGGACGAUAUUUAAUGCGACUGAAUCACAUCACCGAGAAGGAAUCAAAUUUUCAGUCUCAAAAUCAAAAUCAAAACUUCAAAACCUAACCUAACCAGAAACGUAAACAAAACAUGAAUGUCCCGAAGAUAACCAUUAAACAACAACAAAACAACAUAACCUCCAAAACUUUUUAUUCAUCAUCGCAACUCAGUGAACUUUUAUUUCUCUCCUCUCCUUUAGAUUCGAUUGUGAUUUUCCACUUUUCAAACAAAUUCGAAAUACUAUAUCUCUUUCAUUUCAGACUAUUCAUAUCGAAUUUUGUGUUCGAAGUUCCCUAAAACACCCAUUACGCUCCAAAUGUUGAUUAGUCUGUUUCCCUCUUCCUUCUGAAAAAACUAUUGUUAUUGCGUUUUUCAAGUUUUCAAUGUCAAUCCUCGUUAUUCCUUUAUCCCUAAUUUCUCUCGCCACCCAUCUGUAAAAUAAUGGAUCAGCAAUCAAGCAGGUUUGGAUCAAAUUUAGAAGAUAACACCAUACCUGACAAUGAUGGUAAAGAGCUCAAUGGAAACAAUGUGAAACGUAUGAACCCUCAAGACAAACGUACAAAACGAGGAAACAAAAAAUCUACGAGACACUAUGAUGGAAAUUUUGUUGACAUCAACAACAUGUCGCAGUUCACACCUAGUCAUUGGACAAUGAACCACCCGCACCCGCAAAGGCAGCAUCUCUACCCAGCAAUGUCUGAUCCAAGUGUUUGCAGUUACCAGAUUCCGAUUAGUUUUCCUAUGGAGUCAGUGUCAUUUCCUUGCUACCCUGUCUACCAAUCACCGGUCAUGCCUGAGAUGCGGAAACAGUCCCAUUUAUCUCCUAGACGGCUUCCUUCUCAGUCGCGAAUCAUUAAUAACACCCAUUUGCGCCAGUCUGAAAAUUACACUAGUCUUCCACCUGUUCCUCCUCCGGAAGCCCCAGAAGAUCAUCAGCGCCGAUUCAGUGACCCUGGUCUUGGAAACGUCGAUGACUCAGACUUAGAAUCAUCAACAUGCGGUUCUGAUGACUCAGUCCCUCUCAGCAAUUCCAAACUGAUGGAUCAGCUAACAGCAGUAAAUAAUCAAGUCCAACGGUUGAGUACGCAGCUUUUUCAGACGCAAAGCGAACUGGAUGAAUUGAAGUUAGACAUGGUUUCAGUGAAAAAUUCGCUCGCUUCCAAAUAUGAACAGCCUGGCUUGUUAUCUGAGAUGAUCGGUGAAAUCAAAAAAGCUGCUGAAAUCAGAGAAAAAGCAUUUCUUUCUCAAAUAUCUAGUUUUAUCUCUUCGGUGAAUUUAAAGAAAUUUGAAACUAGUUGUCAUGAGGAGAGCGUCAAUGUUUCUGAGAAAGGAGAUCAACCAACAGUGACCUCCUCGGAGUACGAGAUUGACUCAUCAAGAAAAAUUUUAGAAGUAGAGAAAAAGUGCAUUCAACUGGAACAAGCCCUUAGUGAUGCAAUAUCCGCCCGAAUAAAAGCUGAAAAUGAAGCUGAAAGAUGGAAAACCAAGCUAAUAUCACAAAAAGAUAAAUCAUCAUUGCAGGAAACUGUGUCUUCAGAGAUAGACAACGAUGAGAAACUUAUCGAGGAUUUUUCGAAAGUCAACUUGAGCACUCCAAAAGAAACCCAGUGCAUUUUGCCUUCUUCAAAAGGGGAUAGCUGUUCCUUCCCAGACGCGGAUCCUAGGAGGAAAAGUGUAGAUUUCACCAAAACUCACCCUGAUUCGACUGAGAGACUGGAUUCAUCACCAUCAACCAGAAUUUUAAACAGUAAAAAUUACUCAAGAUUAUUGUCGUCAGGACUUGAAAUUUUGGAUCAGCUGGAUGACCACGCUCUUGGACCAGUCACUGAUUUAUAG
rnacentral:lncRNA from 1 species